rnacentral:rRNA from 1 species
GCUUAACACAUGCAAGUCGAGCGAGAAUCGUUUUGCUGAAGGCUUCGGUCUGACGUAGAGUGAGGAAAGCGGCGAACGGGUGAGUAACGCGUGGGCAACCUGGCCUUAAGAAAAGGAUAGCCCCCGGAAACGGGGAGUAAUACUUUAUGAGAAUAGAAAAGGGCAUCCUAUUUCUAUUCAAAGCGCAAGCGCUUAAGGAUGGGCCCGCGUAUCAUUAGCUAGUUGGUGAGAUAACAGCCCACCAAGGCAACGAUGAUUAGCCGGACUGGGAGGGCGAACGGCCACAUUGGAACUGAGAGACGGUCCAAACGCCUACGGGAGGCAGCAGUGGGGAAUAUUGCGCAAUGGAGAAGAACGCGGACGCAGCAAUACCGCGUGAGCGAAGAAGGUCUUCGGAUCGUAAAGCUCUGUUAUCAGGGAAGAAGAAAAUGACGGUACCUGAUGAGCAAGUCCCGGCUAACUACGUGCCAGCCGCCGCAGUAA